UACGAAGGGGGGCUAGCGUUGCUCGGAAUCACUGGGCGUAAAGGGUGCGUAGGCGGGUCUUUAAGUCAGGGGUGAAAUCCUGGAGCUCAACUCCAGAACUGCCUUUGAUACUGAAGAUCUUGAGUUCGGGAGAGGUGAGUGGAACUGCGAGUGUAGAGGUGAAAGUUCGUAGAUAUUCGCAAGAACACCAGUGGCGAAGGCGGCUCACUGGCCCGAUACUGACGCUGAGGCACGAAAGCGUGGGGAGCAAACAGGG
rnacentral:rRNA from 1 species